AUUAUAUACUAUUUAUUGUAUUUUUGACAAAGCAACACUAUCAACUCCGCUUAGAAUCGUUUUUUUCGUUAGCAAUGGCUUAUCUUUGAUAAACAGAUAUAAUUAAAUUCUCUUCUAUAUCCUAUCUUUCCAACUUCCAACCAAAAUAGUGGCUGCACCCACGUGCGAAGUAUGUCUGUCAUUUUUUUCAAUUGUAUUUUUCUUCCAGAAAUUUUGCUGCUAACUUCAAGAGUUAAAUCUUUUUUAAAAGAAAAUGUCCUUUUUCAAUUUGUAGUUUUCUAUAUACAUUCUUUAAGUGUUUAAAUCCGAGAAAAACUGUUGUAAAACGAUAAAGUUUACGGCAUUAAUGGUUUCAUUAGUUUUGAUUUUAUUUUUUUUUUCGCUGUUGUGAUUCGGUUGAAAAUAAUCGUAGAAACUUAAAAUUUUUUACAAAACCCUUGUAUUAUCCUUUUCUAGGCGUUGUGAGGUGUUCAUAAAAUUCAAGCGAUUUCCGAGCUAUUUAUAGGCAUUAUUAGGCAAAAUAUUGUUUUUUUUUUUUUUUUUAGAUUUUAUUUAUGUGUACGCAAUUAUUUGGCCGAAUAGAAAUGCUUGACCAUUAACACGGAGUUCGUGGCAAAUUGCACUUAGUAGUAAAAAAAAAAAAAUAAAAAUAUCCAGCUUAAUGCAGUAAUAUUUUCAAAUUCAAAUUUCG